GGCGAACGGGUGAGUAACACGUGGGUGAUCUGCCUUGCACUUCGGGAUAAGCCUGGGAAACUGGGUCUAAUACCGGAUAGGACCAUGCUUUAGUGUGUGUGGUGGAAAGUUUUUCGGUGCAAGAUGAGCCCGCGGCCUAUCAGCUUGUUGGUGGGGUAAUGGCCUACCAAGGCGACGACGGGUAGCCGGCCUGAGAGGGUGUACGGCCACAUUGGGACUGAGAUACGGCCCAG
rnacentral:rRNA from 1 species